rnacentral:rRNA from 1 species
CACGACUACAUUAGAUACCCCCGUAGUCCUAGCCGUAAACGAUACUCGCUAGGUGUCGGCCACGGUGCGACCGUUGUCGGUGCCGUAGGGAAGCCGUGAAGCGAGCCACCUAGGAAGUACGGCCGCAAGGCUGAAACUUAAAGGAAUUGGCGGGGAGCGACCACAACGCGUGGAGCCUGCGGUUUAAUUGGAUUCAACGCCGGACAUCUCACCAGGGCGACAGCAGAAUGAUGGCCAGGUUGAUGACCUUGCUUGACAAGCUG